rnacentral:rRNA from 1 species
AACUUAAGCCCCAGUAAACGGCGGCCGUAACUAUAACGGUCCUAAGGUAGCGAAAUUCCUUGUCGGGUAAGUUCCGACCCGCACGAAUGGCGUAAUGAUUUGGGCACUGUCUCAACAGCAAAUCCGGCGAAAUUGUAGUGCAAGUGAAGAUGCUUGCUACCCGCGAUUGGACGGAAAGACCCCGUAGAGCUUUACUGUAGCUUAGCAUUGAAUCUCGGUAUUGUCUGUACAGGAUAGGUGGGAGACUUGGAAACUUGGGCGUCAGCCUGAGUGGAGUCAUCCUUGGGAUACCACCCUGACAGUACUGGGGUUCUAACCGGCGGCCAUGAAUCUGGUCACGGGACAUUGUUAGGUGGGCAGUUUGACUGGGGCGGUCGCCU